CUUGGUCAUUUAGAGGAAGUAAAAGUCGUAACAAGGUUUCCGUAGGUGAACCUGCGGAAGGAUCAUUACAGUAUUCUUUUGCCAGCGCUUAACUGCGCGGCGAAAAACCUUACACACAGUGUCUUUUUGAUACAGAACUCUUGCUUUGGUUUGGCCUAGAGAUAGGUUGGGCCAGAGGUUUAACAAAACACAAUUUAAUUAUUUUUACAGUUAGUCAAAUUUUGAAUUAAUCUUCAAAACUUUCAACAACGGAUCUCUUGGUUCUCGCAUCGAUGAAGAACGCAGCGAAAUGCGAUAAGUAAUAUGAAUUGCAGAUUUUCGUGAAUCAUCGAAUCUUUGAACGCACAUUGCGCCCUCUGGUAUUCCAGAGGGCAUGCCUGUUUGAGCGUCAUUUCUCUCUCAAACCCCCGGGUUUGGUAUUGAGUGAUACUCUUAGUCGGACUAGGCGUUUGCUUGAAAAGUAUUGGCAUGGGUAGUACUGGAUAGUGCUGUCGACCUCUCAAUGUAUUAGGUUUAUCCAACUCGUUGAAUGGUGUGGCGGGAUAUUUCUGGUAUUGUUGGCCCGGCCUUACAACAACCAAACAAGUUUGACCUCAAAUCAGGUAGGAAUACCCGCUGAACUUAAGCAUAUCAAUAAGCGGAGGA
rnacentral:rRNA from 1 species